UGCCAGCCGCCGCGGUAAUACGGAGGGGGCUAGCGUUAUUCGGAAUCACUGGGCGUAAAGCGCGCGUAGGCGGUAGUGUAAGUCAGAUGUGAAAGCCCGGGGCUCAACCCUGGAACUGCAUUUGAAACUGCACAACUAGAGUCCGGCAGGGGGUAGCGGAAUUCCAAGUGUAGCGGUGAAAUGCGUAGAUAUUUGGAGGAACACCAAAGGCGAAGGCAGCUAUCUGGACCGGUACUGACGCUAAGGCGCGAAAGCGUGGGGAGCAAACAGGAUUAGAUA
rnacentral:rRNA from 1 species